rnacentral:tRNA from 1 species
ACUUAGGUGGUGAAAUGGUAGACACGCAAGCUUGAGGUGUUUGUAUUUUUUUAAAUAUAAGGGUUCGAGUCCCUUCCUGAGUA